AAAAAACUCUCAAACACAUUCUUUGAGACCAAAAUGUAUCAUUCUCAACAAUCAUACACAUCUUCCUCCAUAACCUGCAGUUUUGAACAGAGCUUGCUUCACGUCUUCAGAACUUAAAAUUGUUCGAUGAUCCACUGACUCAGAACAAGAAGCUCUCAUUGAGAAGUCACUGAAACAGCUGACAACACAUUGUUGAACCUCAAGCCCUAAUGCUUCCAUUGUGUGUACUGUUGAUAACAGUAAACCUGGCUUCGUUCCACAACAUAUCUCUAUGCUCGUUUCAUCCUCAUUUCUCCUUUCUACGUCAAACUUUGGAGGAUUUCUUACAAGUGCUUCAUUAGUCUUUAACCCCUUGAAAUUACCCAGAAAUUUAAUGUCCUUGAUUUCGUUUUCUUCAUGCAACCUGUUGAUUUUAUCUAAUAGCUCCUUCACAUAAUCAAUUGUAUCUCCAAGUAUAGAUGUUCUAUCCAUCUGUUAAAUCAAAUAAUUAAUAAUAAUUGUAAUAAAGAGAAAAUUAAUUAAUUAAAUCACCUUGCUUAUUUUGGGUACAAUAGAUCUAAGCAUAGAGAGUCUGUCAUUAAGUCUUUUCCUUCUUCUCCUUUCUGCCAUAAGAUUCUUAGAAGGCUGUCCUUCUACUUUCUUCACUUUAUAAUUUUUACUCUUUUUUUCUCCCACAAUUCUUGAAGUUUCUUCUUCCAUUUUGACCACUUUGUUAAUAUUGUAACAACUAAAUGAGUCUUCAUAAUGCCCAUGAAAAUCAGUAGAAAAAUGACCAAUUUGCCCUUCCUCUAUAAUGGCUCUUUCUUGAAUAUUAUUAUUAUUAUAAGUGGUAGAAUCAAUAACUA
rnacentral:misc_RNA from 1 species